UGAGGUCAGCCGUUACCAAGAUGGUGUAUCACUAAGGAUGGACAGAUUUUCACCAAGGUUGGUCUGGACAGAGAGACACGCAGCCGACAUACAUUCACUGUUAUGCUAGAAGAACGAAGACCGUCAACUAAAGUAAGCGUCAGCGAAGUAACUAUUGAAGUUCUGGACGUCAACGAUCAAAUACCCACUUUUACUCAAUCUUAUCAGGGAACACUGAAAGAAAAUGUGCCUUCCGGAACCCCAGUAUCAGUC